UUAACCCAGACUAGGAAGAGAAUCCAAAAUGAAAGCAUUAAUUGUGAUACUUUCCAUUCUCCUUGCUUCCACUCUCUUCAUCCCCACUUCCGCCAUCGCUCGACGGCUCUUGGAACAUAAUAUACCGCCGAUUCAAGGCCGUACUCUUGUCUAUCCCCGGAAUUACCCCCCAUUCUCCAGCUAUUCCAACAAUCCGUACGGGUAUUACAACAACCCGUAUGGGAAUUACAACAACCCGUAUGGGAAUUCUUUGCCCUUUAGCCAAACUGUAUAGGUAUAUAGAUGGGGAAAUUCUGAAGAUCUCCCAAGUGUCAUUUGUAUUUUCAUAACUAGUUUGUUUACCAGAUGGAGUGUGGUACCUAAUAAGACAAAAGGUCCUUUAAGAUAACCUUUUAAUU